rnacentral:rRNA from 1 species
UACGGAGGGUGCGAGCGUUGUCCGGAAUCACUGGGCGUAAAGGGCGCGUAGGCGGCGCGGGCAGUCAACGGUGAAAGCUUGGGGCUCAACCCCGAGUCGGCCGUCGAUACUCCCGGGCUGGAGCACUGUAGAGGCAGGUGGAAUUCCGGGUGUAGCGGUGGAAUGCGUAGAUAUCGGGAGGAACACCAGAGGCGAAGGCGGGUUACUGGGCUGAUACUGACGCUGAAUCACGAAAGCUAGGGGAGCAAACGGG